CCCUUAGAUGUCCUGGGCCGCACGCGCGCUACACUGAACAGUUCAACAAGUCUUAACCUUGGCCGAUAGGUCUGGGUAAUCUUUGAACGCUGUUCGUGAUUGGGAUAGACCUUUGCAAUUAUUCAUCUUCAACGAGGAAUUCCUAGUAAACGCAAGUCAUCAGCUUGCAUUGAUUACGUCCCUGCCCUUUGUACACACCGCCCGUCGCACCUACCGAUUGAAUGGUCCGGUGAAAUUCUCGGACGCGGACUAGCGAUGUUAAUUCGGAGCUUGACUGUGAAAGUUAAUUAAACCUUACCAUUUAGAGGAAGGUGAANUCGUAACA
rnacentral:rRNA from 1 species